AUUGAACGCUGGCGGCAGGCCUAACACAUGCAAGUCGAGCGGAUGAAGGGGGCUUGCUCCUGGAUUCAGCGGCGGACGGGUGAGUAAUGCCUAGGAAUCUGCCUGGUAGUGGGGGAUAACGUCCGGAAACGGGCGCUAAUACCGCAUACGUCCUGAGGGAGAAAGUGGGGGAUCUUCGGACCUCACGCUAUCAGAUGAGCCUAGGUCGGAUUAGCUAGUUGGUGGGGUAAAGGCCUACCAAGGCGUCGAUCCGUAACUGGUCUGAGAGGAUGAUCAGUCACACUGGAACUGAGACACGGUCCAGACUCCUACGGGAGGCAGCAGUGGGGAAUAUUGGACAAUGGGCGAAAGCCUGAUCCAGCCAUGCCGCGUGUGUGAAGAAGGUCUUCGGAUUGUAAAGCACUUUAAGUUGGGAGGAAGGGCAGUAAGUUAAUACCUUGCUGUUUUGACGUUACCAACAGAAUAAGCACCGGCUAACUUCGUG
rnacentral:rRNA from 1 species